GAUCCUGGCUCAGGAUGAACGCUGGCGGCGUGCCUAACACAUGCAAGUCGAACGAAGCAUUUUGAAUGAAGUUUUCGGAUGGAUUUUAAGAUGACUGAGUGGCGGACGGGUGAGUAACACGUGGAUAACCUGCCUCACACUGGGGGACAACAGUUAGAAAUGACUGCUAAUACCGCAUAAGCGCACAGUACCGCAUGGUACAGUGUGAAAAACUCCGGUGGUGUGAGAUGG
rnacentral:rRNA from 1 species